rnacentral:rRNA from 1 species
GAUGAACGCUAGCUACAGGCUUAACACAUGCAAGUCGAGGGGUAACGACAGCGAAAGCUUGCUUUUGCUGGGCGACGACCGGCGCACGGGUGAGUAACGCGUAUCCAACCUUCCCCUUAGUAGGGCACAGCCCGGCGAAAGUCGGAUUAAUUCCCUAUGUUGUUUGAUGCUGACAUCAAAAUCAAACCAAAGAUUCAUCGCUAAGGGAUGGGGAUGCGUCUGAUUAGAUAGUAGGCGGGGUAACGGCCCACCUAGUCAACGAUCAGUAGGGGUUCUGAGAGGAAGGUCCCCCACAUUGGAACUGAGACACGGUCCAAACUCC